rnacentral:lncRNA from 1 species
GGGGUGCCCACCUGAGCAUGGCCUCCUCCACGCGCGGCCCCGUGCGGGUGCUGCUCACCACGUCGUCCAACUGCAUCACGAUGUCGGCUCCUGCGGGCGUGUGUGGGGCGGCCCCACGGCGCUAUGGGGCAGCGCUCACCCGGCGCUAUGGGGCAGCGCUCACCCGGCGCUAUGGGGCAGCCCCAUAACUCCCAUUCCCUCCCCUUCCCUCCCCUCCCCUCCCCCUGGCGCAAUGGGGCAGCUAUGGGACUCAGCACGUUCUGUAGCCUCGUCCCCCCAGCGCUAUGGGGCAGCCCCAUAACUCCAGAGGGCUAUGGGGCAGGUGUGGGGCAGCCAUGGUGGAGGAUAUGGGGCAGCUAUGGGGCUCACCCAGUGCGGUCUGUAGCCCCAUCCCCCCUGUCCCCCCAGCGCUAUGGGGCAGCCCCAUAUCCCCAGAGGGCUAUGGGGCAGCUGUGGGGCAGGAUAUGGGGCAGCUAUGGGGCAGCUAUGGGGCACGCUAUGGGGCGGCCAUGGGGAUGAUAUGGGGCAGCCAUGGGGCGGCCACGGGGAUGAUAUGGGGCAGCCAUGGGGCGGCCAUGUGGGUGCUAUGGGGCAGCUAUGGGGCGGCCAUGUGGGGGCCAUGGGGCACGCUAUGGGGCACGCCAUGGGGCACGCCAUGGGGCACGCCAUGGGGGCGCUAUGGGGCAGCCAUGUGGGCGCUAUGGGGCGGCCAUGGGGCACGCUAUGGGGCACGCUAUGGGGCACGCCAUGGGGCACGCCAUGGGGCACGCUACGGGGCAGCCAUGGGGCACGCUAUG